GGGGUGAAUUGAGUGCAAGGGAUGAGAACGGGAUUGCGCGUGCUGGCUGUCCUCUGUUAUAUAGAAGUGGAGGAACACCCGCUGGCGAAGGCGGCUUUCUGGUCUGUAACUGACGCUGAGGCACGAAAGCGUGGGGAGCAGACAGGAUUAGAUACCCUGGUAGUCCACGCCCUACACGAUGAGUGCUAAGUGUUGGGGGUUUCAAUACCCUCAGUGCCGCAGCUAACGCAAUAAGCUCUCCGCCUGGGGAGUACGCUCGCACUGAGUGAAACUCAAAGGAAUUGACGGGGGCCCGCGCAAGCGGUGGAGCAUGUGGUUUAAUUCGAAUCAUCGCGAAGAACCUUACCAGGUCUUGACAUCCCGCUGACCGCUCUGGAGACUGAGCUUCCCUUCUGGGCAGCGGUGACAGGUGGUGCAUGGUUGUCUUCAGCUCGUGUCGUGAGAUGUUGGGUUAAGUCCCGCAACGAGCGCAACCCUUAUCUUUAGUUGCCAGCAUUCAGUUGGGCACUCUAGAGAGACUGCCGUCGACAAGACGGAGGAAGGCGGGGAUGACGUCAGAUCAUCAUGCCCCUUAUGACCUGGGCUAUACACGUGCUACAAUGGUUGGUACAACGGGACGCUAGCCCGCGAGGGUAUGCCCAUCUCUUAUAACCCAUCUCAGUUCGGAUUGUAGGCUGCAACUCGCCUACAUGUAGUCGGAAUCGCUCAUGAUCUCGGAUUAGCAUGCCGUGGUGAAUAGCUGCCGGGCCUUGUACAACCGCCCGUCACACGUGAGAG
rnacentral:rRNA from 1 species